rnacentral:rRNA from 1 species
UACGGAAUAGCCUCGGCGAAACGUGAGAGUAAUACCGUAUAAGCCCUUCGGGGGAAAGAUUUAUCGGGAAAGGAUUGGCCCGCGUUAGAUUAGAUAGUUGGUGGGGUAAUGGCUCUACCAAGUCUACGAUCUAUAGCUGGUUUUAGAGGAUGAUCAGCAACACUGGGAGUGAGACACGGCCCGAGAUCUCCUACGGGAGGCAGCAGUGGGGAAUCUUAGACAAUGGGCGCAAGCCUGAUCUAGCCAUGCCGCGUGUGUGAUGAAGGUCUUAGGAUCGUAAAGCACUUUCGCCAGGGAUGAUAAUGACAGUACCUGGUAAAGAAACCCCGGCUAACUCCGUGCCAGCAGCCGCGGUAAUACGGAGGGGGUUAGCGUUGUUCGGAAUUACUGGGCGUAAAGCGUACGUAGGCGGAUUGGAAAGUUGGGGGUGAAAUCCCAGGGCUCAACCCUGGAACUGCCUCCAAAACUAUCAGUCUAGAGUUCGAGAGAGGUGAGUGGAAUUCCAAGUGUAGAGGUGAAAUUCGUAGAUAUUUGGAGGAACACCAGUGGCGAAGGCGGCUCACUGGCUCGAUACUGACGCUGAGGUACGAAAGUGUGGGGAGCAAACAGGAUUAGAUACCCUGGUAGUCCACACCGUAAACGAUGAAUGCCAGUCGUCGGGCAGUAUACUGUUCGGUGACACACCUAACGG